GAUGAACGCUAGCGGCAGGCUUAAUACAUGCAAGUCGUGGGGCAGCAUGAAGUAGCAAUACUUUGAUGGCGACCGGCAAACGGGUGCGGAACACGUACACAACCUUCCUUUUAGUGGGGAAUAGCCCAGAGAAAUUUGGAUUAAUACCCCGUAACAUAGCGAUGUGGCAUCACAUUGCUAUUAUAGCUUCGGCGCUAGAUGAUGGGUGUGCGUAUGAUUAGAUAGUUGGCGAGGUAACGGCUCACCAAGUCUACGAUCAUUAGCUGAUGUGAGAGGAUGAUCAGCCACACGGGCGCUGAGACACGGGCCCGACUCCUACGGGGGGCAGCAGUAAGGAAUAUUGGUCAAUGGACGAAAGUCUGAACCAGCCAUGCCGCGUGAAGGAUUAAGGUCCUCUGGAUUGUAAACUUCUUUUAUAUGGGACGAAAAAAAGGUCUUUCUAGAUCACUUGACGGUACCAUAUGAAUAAGCACCGGCUAACUCCGUGCCAGCCGCCGCCGUAACAC
rnacentral:rRNA from 1 species